AUGGCCGACAUGGGUCAAAGUGCAGUAUCUCUUCUUAUCAGCUGAAUAUUUGAUAGGGGUUGUACUUGAACCCAAGGUAUUAAAAUUAUUUUUGCAAGGCGGCAGAGUGCUUGAAGCCUGCUUCACCUUCGCUGCGGGUCUGUCCGAUAUGACACAAUCUUCGGGGGGAUCGGCCCACAUUUU